CAGCAGCAGCCGCGGUAAUACGGAGGGUGCAAGCGUUAAUCGGAAUUACUGGGCGUAAAGCGCACGCAGGCGGUCUGACAAGUCAGAUGUGAAAUCCCCGGGCUCAACCUGGGAACUGCAUUUGUGACUGUAUAGCUAGAGUACGGCAGAGGGGGAUGGAAUUCCGCGUGUAGCAGUGAAAUGCGUAGAUAUGCGGAGGAACACCGAUGGCGAAGGCAAUCCCCUGGGCCUGUACUGACGCUCAUGCACGAAAGCGUGGGGAGCAAACAGGAUUAGAGACCCCCGUAGUCCCUGUCUCUUAUAC
rnacentral:rRNA from 1 species